UACGGAGGGAGCUAGCGUUGUUCGGAAUUACUGGGCGUAAAGCGCGCGUAGGCGGCUUUGUAAGUUAGAGGUGAAAGCCCGGGGCUCAACCCCGGAACUGCCUUUAAGACUGCAUCGCUUGAAUCCAGGAGAGGUGAGUGGAAUUCCGAGUGUAGAGGUGAAAUUCGUAGAUAUCGGGAGGAACACCGGUGGCGAAGGCGGCGACCUGGGUAGAUACUGACGCUGAGGUGCGAAAGCGUGGGGAGCAAACAGG
rnacentral:rRNA from 1 species